GUACACGCUGUGACUAGCAUAUCAAUAAGCGGAGGAAAAGAAACUAACAAGGAUUCCCUUAGUAACGGCGAGUGAAGCGGGAAGAGCUCAAAUUUGAAAUCUUCAAGGUUUUACCUUGACGAAUUGUAGUUUAAAGAAGUGUUUUCUGCUGAAGUUUUGGUAAAAGUUCUUUGGAAUAGGACAUCAUAGAGGGUGAGAAUCCCGUAUUUGACCAUUAUUUUCAGCUUUGUGAUACACUUUCAAAGAGUCGGAUUGUUUGGGAAUGCAGUCCAAAAUGGGUGGUAAAUUUCAUCUAAAGCUAAAUAUUGGCGAGAGACCGAUAGCGAACAAGUACCGUGAGGGAAAGAUGAAAAGAACUUUGAAAAGAGAGUUAAACAGUACGUGAAAUUGUCAAAAGGGAAGCGUUUGACACCAGUGUUGUUUUCCUCGAAAAUCAAUUAAAAAUGGCUCGAUUUUGUAUUGCUGAGACCUUAAAAGCUCACUGUACAUUUUUCGUGUCUUUUUUAAUGCACUUUUCGCUUUAACAAGUCAACAUCAGUUUCUUUUGUUGUAAAAGGGUCAUUGGAAGGUGGCUUUCUUUUCGGAGAAAGUGUUUAUAGCCUUUGGCCUCUGCAAUCGAAGAGACUGAGGUCUGCAGCGUAGACUCCUUCGGGGCUAGAUACAUUUGUGCUAAGUUAUAGCAUUUUUAUAGACAACUUGUUGACUAUAAUUAGUCUUGUAGCUUACUCGCUUAUGCUAUUUUACCUACGCUUAGGAUGUUGACGCAUGAGAUAUACGC
rnacentral:rRNA from 1 species